UCUUUUCAGCAGAACAGCUUGCAGCUGGUGCUUCAUCUUUAAGGGUGAGAAUCAACUUGGAGUGUCCUCCGGGUUAGGCGGCAAAUUGGUCCCGGUUUUGCCCCUGCCGCAGGGCUGGCCCGGGAAGGCGUGGGCUUAGAUUAGCCGUGUCCUCUGCCGUUUGACGGGGUGACACGAGCCCGCAGGGCUGAGCGCAGGGCCCGGAGAUAGGACCAGCCAGCAGGAAUGCAGAGAAUGUUUCUCUUUGGACUCUAUCGAGGCACACAGACCAUGGGGAUUCUGUCCGCGGUGACAGCCUUAACAUUUGCCAGAGCCCUGGACGCCGCUGUAGAAAUGGCAUUGCCCACCCGGAAAGUGAGAAGAUCCUGUAAGGAGGCAGAAUGACGGUUUUCGGAAACAUCCCGUCAAGGAGAGAGAAACAGCUAAAUUGAAAUGGGCUCUUAAAAUCAGCCCAGGGUUCUCUGGAUCAGUGAAAACAGGUAUUUGUAAAAAUGAAAACACGGACAAGGAAUUGGGCUCUAUUUCCCUACAAGCCUCUUCCCCCCCCGUGCCUCCUAAAUAUAUAUAUAUAUUUCUAUGAAGCAAAAAUACAUUUGUUUUCUUUUUCAUCAGGGUUAUCAGACGUGGCUGGAGAAAAGAUUAGUACAAGUCUAAAAACGGACAUGUAAUACGUGUCAAGCUCCUUUGAAAGGGGGUGAGAUGGCUAUGAUAACAAAACUUAAAAUGUGUGUUUUCUGACAAACAAAAAACCCAUUUUGAUUUCUUGACCUGUGUUUGAGCUCAGCGUUCAGAUGACACAAGGCUACCCCCGCACAGGUGUCAGGGGCUCCCAGCAUGAACCCGGUGACAGAACAGUGACAAUGCCACUGGCUUCGAAACGGGAGCAAAAAUAACAGAAAAUGGCUCUGUUAGGAAAGAAGCUUCUGCAGGGCGGAUCCCUCAGAAAGUAAGUCCCCAGCAGAUGCCGACCCGCGCAGCGCUGAUCCACGUCAGCCCAGGUUCUCCAAGCCGUGUCUGCGACACCUGAGAACCUGGGACCUCGAGUGAGUCAGAGACCACCGAGCAGGACCCUUGAAAGGCACCAAGGUGCUGAAAAAGCGGAGGGGAGCCUGGCGCAACGUCUCCGCAGCCGCCAAAAGGCCCCGGAGCAAACGGACACAGAGAUGUGUCUGAUGAGGUGAUGGAGAGGGUGGAGGGUGGCGGUUUCGGUGACGGCGACAUUCCUCUGUCUGGGCAGGACGUGGGGCAUUGGGCUGAGAGGUCCCUAUGUGAAAAUCGCAGGAGACGAACCACUUCGGGCCAGUCCUUUUUUUUUGUUGUUGUUAAAUGUCUCUUUGGCCCCCAAACCGUUAUGAAGAGAAAAAUGCCGAAGUCUGCAAAUCCAGGGCCAUCACUGUGUCAGCUCCGAGCCGAGAUGUUUCCCAAAUGAACACCUGGAGGACGUAAAUCACCCGGCCGUAAACACUUCAGGCCCGGCGCAGGCUGCGGGCUGGGCGGGGCGGCCUCCUCCCACCGGCCAGGGUCCGUCAACCAGGCGCUGGCCUGCACUCAUCGGGGCUCCUUUCCGAGAGAGACCCCCACCCCCCAGUCUGGGAGCAGAAUCCCCUCACAGAGGUCACUCAGAUAACGGACAGACGUGCUCCCACCCUGGCCACCGGCCGACUUAUCCCGGGCUGGUAUUGGGGAGUGAAGCUGUCAGAGGUUUAUGUCGUUACGAAUGGCUUUACGAUACCUACAGAGGGGACCAGGGCCCCGGGCUUCAAGGUGGCUAUUUUUGAAGGCGGCAUGUAAUGAUAAAAUCCUAAAAAAAAAGUCUUUCUUUUUAAAUAUCCUGAAAGUAAAAUCAUAACCAUAGUAAUAACAAAACCAAAAGGUUUGUAUGAAAUGUCCCCAACGUUAGGAGAUGUCAAAGGGCAUUCGCUCUUUUAAGACAAACAGAAUUCAAAUAUUAAAAUAACUUUCUUUCUCCCCACUGUCUUAAAUUCCUGGGAACCCCCAUUUGGUGUAUGCGAUUGUCAUAAAAAUCCCUGAAGGGGGGACACAGAUGGAGGCCAGCGGGAUCCAUCUCAGAAAGAUCACCUCCUUGGGAAUUUCUUUACAUUCUGAUGCUCUACUUAAAAUAAGAAAAUCUCUCCUUAUAAUUAUCUGGCUAGGAGGAGUCUUUUAAAUGAUGUCUUCUGCCUUCAGCCAGACAGAUGUGAGGACGAGCAAAGUAAACACUACAAAACAGCCUUCAGUCCUGGCUUUUUAUGGCUCUAUUCCUUUCCACCCACAGCACGGAUCAGAGGAACGUAGAGAACUCGAGAGUAGGGACUCUGUCUCUGGGAUCAACCUUGCACCAAAGAAAAACAACCCAGAGAAAUUAUUCUGCAGCCUGAAAUGAAGCUAGGAUCAAAUGGUUGCUCAUCGGAAGGAAUAUUUAAAUUGGACAAGUCAAAUCAAGCGUUAUUAAAUAAAGCUUGUUUAAUGUGUCUCCAACGGAAAACGUCUUUUGAAGGGCGGUUUAACCUGAUAUUACAAAUCUGGCCCAGCGCAUGUCUUCAGGCUCCAUCGGUGCAUACGGGAAUUUGUGUUCAUACCACGAAAAGUGUGCUACCCUCUCUUCACAAAGUAUUUUUUUCCCCAUGUAUAAAAUGAAAGCAGAAAGGUUUUUAGGUAGCUAUUGAAAACUGUUAAUGUCAUAUAAUAAAUAUGAGACAACUGA